rnacentral:rRNA from 1 species
CGAUGGUAAGGUAGUGUCUUACCAUGGUGGCAACGGGUAACGGACCGUGGGUGCGGGACUCCGGAGAGGGAGCCUGAGAAACGGCUACCACAUCCAAGGAAGGCAGCAGGCGCGUAAAUUACCCAAUCCAGACUCUGGGAGGUAGUGACAAGAAAUAUCAAUAGGGGACCUAUAAGGUCUUCUAAUUGGAAUGAGAACAACCUAAACAGCUUAUCGAGAAUCCAGCAGAGGGCAAGUCUGGUACCAGCAGCCACGAUAAUUCCAGCUCUGUAAGCGUAUACCAAAGUUGUUGCAGUUAAAACGCUCGUAGUCGGAUUUUGGCAGUUACGGAUGUGUACGCGUCGUGCGCGCACUUUGCGGGGACUGCUUUUGUGGGUAUGCGUGGGAUGAGGCAACUUUAUUGUUGAACGUCCCUACGCAACCACUCUUUACUAACAGUAAAUUAACGUGUUCAAAGCAGGCAAUUGCCGUGAAUACAUUAGCAUGGAAUAAUAGAAUAGGACUCUGUCUUAUUUUGUUGGUUUGUUAGGGCUGAGUAAUGAUUAAGAGGGACAGUUGGGGGCAUUUGUAUUCAGGCGCUAGAGGUGAAAUUCUUAGAUUGCUGGAAGACAAACUGCUGCGAAAGCGUCUGCCAAGGAUGUUUUCAUUGAUCAAGAACGAAAGUAAGGGGAUCGAAGACGAUCAGAUACCGUCGUAGUCUUUACUAUAAACGAUGAGGACUGGGGAUC